GACUAAGCGUACACGGUGGAUGCCCUGGCAGUCAGAGGCGAUGAAGGACGUGCUAAUCUGCGAUAAGCGCCGGUAAGGUGAUAUGAACCGUUAUAACCGGCGAUUUCCGAAUGGGGAAACCCAGUGUGAUUCGUCACACUAUCAUUAACUGAAUCCAUAGGUUAAUGAGGCGAACCGGGGGAACUGAAACAUCUAAGUACCCCGAGGAAAAGAAAUCAACCGAGAUUCCCCCAGUAGCGGCGAGCGAACGGGGAGGAGCCCAGAGCCUGAAUCAGCAUGUGUGUUAGUGGAAGCGUCUGGAAAGGCGCGCGAUACAGGGUGACAGCCCCGUACACAAAAGCGCAUGUGCUGUGAGCUCGAUGAGUAGGGCGGGACACGUGGUAUCCUGUCUGAAUAUGGGGGGACCAUCCUCCAAGGCUAAAUACUCCUGACUGACCGAUAGUGAACCAGUACCGUGAGGGAAAGGCGAAAAGAACCCCGGCGAGGGGAGUGAAAAAGAACCUGAAACCGUGU
rnacentral:rRNA from 1 species